rnacentral:lncRNA from 1 species
GAAAAAUCAUACUACCUUUUUUUUUCCCAAAUGAUUGAUCACUCAACCACAAAAAUGGUCUUUGGAGGAAUAGGUUUUCCUUAAGAACUUACAAAUAUUGCCCUGUUACAGGACUUUAUGGUUUAAGUUCUGAAAGUUGUAGUCAUUCUAAUCUAAAUCUUUGGAAUAUUAUCACUUCCUUUUUAGAUUCAUGUAUUAUCGUUAACUGCCAUUGAAAUGAAGGUGGAAGCAAAUAAAUGUGUUAGCCUGCUCACCAUUUUUUUUUCAUUAUUAGCCAGUAUGCUUCUGGUUUUGAAGGACAGAAACUCAACCUGAACUAAACUAGUCAAAAAGGAGAACUGUUUUCUCAUCUAACCACAGAAAGGAAGCAGGGCAGCGCUCAGAGUUGGGCUAUUUUGCUCUCCAUCUCUCACCGCAGCUUCUUUCAAAUAUUGGCUCAUUAUCCUCUGCAAACCGGCCUCUUCCACAUGGUGUUUACUGCUCCAGAGAUGCACUUUCUUUAAUUCUCACCAUCAAAGAAAGAAUAAGUCUUCUUCUCCUCCAUGUCCAGUUUGAAAAAUACCAAGAUAGAGCUGUGAUUGGUCUUGCCUGGGUCAGGAAGAUUAGCCCAGAGCUAAUAUCCACACCCAUCUUCCUCUACUCUAUAUAUGGGAUGCCUGCCACAGCAUGGCUUGACAAGCAGGGUGUAGGUCUGCACCCAGGAUCCGAACCAGCAAACCCUGGGCUGCCAAAGCAGAAUGUGUGAACAUAACUGCUGUGCCACCAGGCUGGCCCCUGGAAAUGAUAUCUUAAUGUAGUUUUAAAUUGCAUUGAUCUCCUUAUGGGUGAAGAUGAGGGUAUUCUCGUAUGUUCUUAUAUUUUGCCCAUUGUUUUUCAUAUG